AUUGAUAAGAGAUUGAUGGACUUUCCAUAUUUUUGAAAUCAGUUUCCUUCCAAUCUUAAUUGCAAUCACAAUAACCACGCUCUUUGUAAUAGGCCAUUCAGAAAACCCUAAAUCUCAAACACAAAAAUUAUCAUCAGAUCCCAAGAUUUCUUCAUCUUCAAUCGCGAUCGAAAGCAACCAGUUUUUAUGGAGAAAUUGAUUGAAAACCAAAUUGAAUGCCGAAGACGAGUUGCAGUGAUCAGAGCUCUUAAAUCGUUUGAUAUCGGUGCUUUCAAAACUAGAAGAUUAUAUGGUUUUGCUAUUCUUAGAUGAACACAAACGGAUCAAUUUUACUGUCAUCUGCUCUGCUGCAUCUUUUGUUAUUGACUGCGAUGUUACAGGGAUCUUCAUACUCGAUAUUGU